rnacentral:rRNA from 1 species
UACUCAGGGUGCAAGCGUUGUCCGGAAUUAUUGGGCGUAAAGAGCUUGUAGGCGGUUUGUCGCGUCUGCUGUGAAAUUUCGGGGCUCAACCCCGAACUUGCAGUGGGUACGGGCAGACUAGAGUGUGGUAGGGGAGACUGGAAUUCCUGGUGUAGCGGUGAAAUGCGCAGAUAUCAGGAGGAACACCGAUGGCGAAGGCAGGUCUCUGGGCCACUACUGACGCUGAGAAGCGAAAGCAUGGGGAGCGAACAGG